rnacentral:rRNA from 1 species
UACGUAGGGCGCAAGCGUUGUCCGGAAUUAUUGGGCGUAAAGAGCUCGUAGGCGGCUUGUCACGUCGGGUGUGAAAGACCGGGGCUUAACCCCGGUUCUGCAUUCGAUACGGGCAGGCUAGAGUUCGGUAGGGGAGAUCGGAAUUCCUGGUGUAGCGGUGAAAUGCGCAGAUAUCAGGAGGAACACCGGUGGCGAAGGCGGAUCUCUGGGCCGAUACUGACGCUGAGGAGCGAAAGCGUGGGGAGCGAACAGG